rnacentral:lncRNA from 1 species
CCCUGUGCCCGAGCACCCUUGGCGUGCUUCAGCAGGAGGCUCACUGCUGGAGAGUGGGUGGUCUCGGCACAUCAUUCAAAUUGGCAUAAGAGAAAAGCAAGGCCAGGUCUGUGCGUGUGCGUGACCCACUGAGUGUGUAACGGAAAGUCCCAGAGGGCAUCACUUCAGACCUGCUGGACCCACAGCGGGAGUGGGUGCAAGGCCAGCUCCUCCCUGUCUCCCAGCGUGGCCUCUGCUCUGCUGGCUUUGUCCCCAGCUUCCUCACAUGGCUCAAACCCUCUAGGGACCCCUGAUGUCCUCCAGGGAGCCAGCAUGGCUGCAGCACCCUCCUCCCCACCGUCCAGGUGCAGCCCGAGGAGAAAGAGCAGUCUCCUCCAAAGUGCUCCAGAGCUAACGUCCAACCUGUGAGACGAGCUGGGGUCACACGCUCAUCCCUGAACCAACCCUGGCAGAGGCAGCUGGGUGGGCUCAGCCUGGGCCACAUGCCUCCCUCUGAGUCUUGGGCCACCCGUCUGUGUGGGCAGCAUGGGGUUCCAACAAGCCUGGCUGAGGCAGGGUCAGGAGGACAAGGGAAUGGCAGAGAGAACCUCUUCAGCAACCCUCUGGAGUCCACUUGAAGAUGCC